rnacentral:rRNA from 1 species
AUUGAACGCUGGCGGCAGGCCUAACACAUGCAAGUCGAACGAGUGGCGGACGGGUGAGUAAUGUCUGGGAAACUGCCCGAUGGAGGGGGAUAACUACUGGAAACGGUAGCUAAUACCGCAUACCAUCGGAUGUGCCCAGAUGGGCUUAGCUAGUAGGUGGGGUAACGGCUCACCUAGGCGACGAUCCCUAGCUGGUCUGAGAGGCUGGCCAGCCAACCUGGACCGGAGACACGGUCCAGACUCCUACGAGAGGCAGCAGUGGGGAAUAUUGCACAAUGGGGGCAAGCCAGAUGCAGCCAUGCCGCGUGUAUGAACAAGGCCUUCGGGUUGUAAAGUACUUUCAGCGAGGAGGCGUUACUCGCAGAAGAAGCACCGGCUAACUCCGUGCCAGCAGCCGCGGUAAUUC